ACAGACAGACAGACAGACAGACAGAGGGGGAGAGAGAGAGAGAGAGAGAGAGGAGAGGAGAGAGACUCAGGCGUCCGUGCAACGGUGGUUCUGCCUUCCAAGCAGUUGGGCUACUAGCCCUCGUUCCAUACCGGCCAACGCAUCUGUUACGAUGUCUGUUCUCAACUUACAUUUUUAUUUGCUUGAAAAUCAACUUUCAGCUUCAUUAAACAAAACAGCCCUAACCGUGCUUGCUCGCGGCAGUCAUCCCAGCCCUCUGGAAGCUGAGGCAGGAGGUCUGCUAGGAGUUCCAGGCUAGACUGAGCUACGAAAUGAGAUCGUGUCUCGGAAACAAGGACCUUAAAAUAAAAAUCCCUAAAAUACAGAAUAGACACGGAGGACAAAAAUAGGGAGCCAAAUAAUUGCGGCUGUGGGAAAGUGGGUUAAUUUUGAUCGGGUGAGGUUCUGCUGAUUGAGGCCGUUGCCCUUAAGCCAAACUACCUUUGGUCAGUUCCCGGUCCCCGCAUGAUGGAGAGACCUGGCCCCGAAAUAACUCCAGAGGAACAUGCUAUCAGAUACACCACCAAGGAUUUUGUAGUUUGAAGCAACUGCUAGCUUACGCCCUUCCAAACUGGGGAAUGUGGAACCCAAGACCUCCCACUGGAAGCAAGCACUCCAGAUCUACAUCCCAGCAUUAAACUUUAAGCUUUUACUUCUUAUUUCUCAUCAUUUUUGAGACAGGCUCUGGCAUUAUGCCACAUUGGCCAACCUAGAACUAGUAUACAUCAGGCUGGCUUUGAACUCUCAGAGAUCCGCUUACCUCUACCUAGACCCCCGUUUUACUUUUUGUCCAUGUGUGUCUGAGUGAGUCUGUACCAUUUAAGUGUGACAGAAGAGCACCGUGGGGCCCCUGGAGUCACAGCCAGCCCUGUAGGUGCUGGGAACUGAACUCCCUUUCUUGCUGAACCUUCUCCCGCCAGUCCCUCAAGAGCUUUUGUGAAUAAAGUCACAUUCCCCAGAAGUUGUCAUAAUUGGGUUCCUGGGGAAGGGCAGCCAUUGUUUGGCGAGUGAGCAUCUCCUGAUGUUGUUUGAGUCCCUCCAUUGUUGAUACUUAACUUCCUGAAUAGCUAACCAGUUGCCUGGAUAUCCCGAGGGUAACAUUUUGAACAAAAUGUUGCAACCCGCUUUCCUUUCCAGGAAGCCUCCCCAGAGACACCAUGUGUUACACAAUUGCAGGACGUGGCUCAGGGCCUAGCAGCUCUCCUCUUUGCUGGCGGAGCCAUCUGCUCCUCUCUCCUCCUGUCCCAGGACUGAGUCCCCUUCCCUUUCACACAUGCCUUAGGAAUCUCAUCUUCAUUUUGAGGCAGGGCCUCAUGUAGUCCAGGUUAUCCCAGAGCUCACCAUCUAGCCUAAGUUUAUCUUGAACUUCUGCCUCCAGCCCUCUAGUGCUAGGGUGACGUGUGUGCACAACCGUGCCUGGUUAAUGUGUAGCUGGGGAUGGAGCCCAGGGUCUGGUGCAUGCUGGGUCAGAGCUGACAGCAAGCCCCAGUCUCAGCUUGAACUUGAAACUGAAAGUGUGUGAUAUGGAAUGGGGAGAGGUUCUCAGUGGUCAGAGGUGAGCUCUAGCACUCGGGUGGAGGCAAGAGGAUCAGAGGUUUGCCUUGGCAUAGCCACACACUGCUGAAGACAGAGAGGGGCAGUCUGUGUCUCUGUGUCUGGGACCAGAGGAGGGUAAAAAUAUAACCCUGGCCAUAUGAACGACAGUCAUUCCCCCAUCUGGCAACACUGGAGCCUGGAAUUCCUUCAGUUCUCUGGUCACAGGCCCCAGUGGAGAGUGGGGGUGGGGCACCUUAUAUAGGGGGCUCCCAAGAAGCCAGGCUCAGGGAAAGCUGGCUGCACUCCAAACUUGCAUUAAGUACCCCCCCAAAUUCAACGUAGGGUCCAAGCGGGUAGGGGGGAUGCUUGCAGACAGAGACAAGGAAGAAUGGGGAGGGACUCGAUGGAGAUAGGGAACAGGCAAUAGGAGGAUGUCAGCUGCGACCUCCAGAUCUUGGGUUCACUCUGGGGAGCCUCACAUUCAGAAAGCGGUUUAAUAAGAGGCGCCCCCUUGAACCCAGGAGCACGUGGGCUCUAUAAGAGAGCGCACAGUGGGAGACCCGGGAAAGCCGCCAUUGCCCUCACUGUCCAAUCAGCCCCUCCCUGACUCUGGUCUCAGUGGGUGGGGUGAAGGGUGGGCCCAGUGUAAAGGAAGCCCCGCCUUAUCCCUGAGGACCCCCUCCCCCUACUCUUCAACCUCCCUCCUCCUCCCCUGUCCCUGGGCCUGUGUCCCAGGAGCACAGGGCUGGAACCUGGGGCAAAGCAAACCUUUCCCACCAGGAGGAGAUGAAGGAAAGGUUCCAGAGCUCAGUUUCCUCCUUCGAAGACUGGCCGCUGCGGCCGCAGCCAAGGGGCUUUGCAGGAAUAUUCUAGAGUGAAGCCCACGGCUCUGUGCACCCUGAGCCCACAGGCCUCUCAGCGCUGGGGGCAUCUCAGGGGGCACGUUUAUCACAAUGUGCAUUGGAAGUCAGAGGACAACCUGAAGGAGUUGGGUCUCCCUGCCUUCAGGGUUUCUCCGUGUAACCUUGGCUGUCCUAGAACUUUCUUUGUAGACCAGGCUGGCCUCGAACUCAUAGAGAUCCACACAUGCCCCAGCAUGCACCAGUGUUGGAGAUCCAAGAAUUCCCCUUCUGCUUCCUCAGAGCUGUGUGUCAUAACCCUAAAAGGCUGGAGAGAUGGCUCAGUGGUUAAGAGCACUGGUUGUUCUUUCAGAGGACCCGGGUUCAAUUCCCAACACCCACAUGGCGGCCACCAACUAGUUCCAGGGAAUCUGACAUCCUCAC